GACGGAGGAUGCAAGCGUUAUCCGGAAUGAUUUGGGCGAAAGCGUCCGCAGGUGGCAGUUCAAGUCUGCUGUCAAAGACCGGGGCUUAACUUCGGAAAGGCAGUGGAAACUGAACAGCUAGAGUAUGGUAGGGGCAGAGGGAAUUCCUGGUGUAGCGGUGAAAUGCGUAGAGAUCAGGAAGAACAUCGGUGGCGAAGGCGCUCUGCUGGACCAUAACUGACACUCAGGGACGAAAGCUAGGGGAGCGAAUGGG
rnacentral:rRNA from 1 species